rnacentral:sRNA from 1 species
CUUGCUGUGGGCAAAUAAAAUGAAUAUGAGCAUCAAUACCACCCGCGGUAACAAUCUGGCCUUCACCGGCAAUGACUUCAGUGCCCGGACCGACUUCAAUAUCAAUGCCGUCCUGAAUAUCCGGGUUUCCGGCUUUACCUAUUUUUUGUAUGCGGCCGUCUUUAAUCCCGAUAUCUGCUUUUACUAUGCCCCAGUGAUCUAAAAUCAGCGCAUUGGUAAUCACUAAAUCUGCGGUAUCUUUACAAGAUGCCUGACUUUGUCCCAUACCAUCACG